GUCGAGAAUCUUUCACAAUGGGGGCAACCCUGAUGGAGCGACGCCGCGUGGAGGAUAAGGUCUUCGGAUUGUAAACUCCUGUCAUGCGUGAACAAGGUUGCUUGGUUAAUACCUGGGCAAAUUGAUGGUAACGCAAGAGGAAGAGACGGCUAACUCUGUGCCAGCAGCCGCGGAAAUACAGAGGUCUCAAGCGUUGUUCGGAAUCACUGGGCGUAAAGGGUGCGUAGGUGGCGUGGUAAGUCAGAUGUGAAAGCCCGGGGCUCAACCUCGGAACUGCAUCCGAUACUGCCAUGCUAGAGUACUGGAGAGGUGACUAGAAUUCUAGGUGUAGCAGUGAAAUGCGUAGAUAUCGAGAGGAAUACCAAAGGCGUAGGCAGGUCACUGGACAGUUACUGACACUGAGGCAAGAAGGCCAGGGGAGCGAACGGGAUUGGAUACCCGAGUAGUCC
rnacentral:rRNA from 1 species